GUCAGGCUCUUGGUGUCUGGAGCAACCAGGAUAGGAAGCUAGGCUCCUGCAGUCACAGAAGCAACAAGCCACAAGAGUGAUAGCAGAAUCUGCGACUUUGUCACUAGAGAAAUCCCACGUAGCUCCCACAUGACAGCUGGGACAGCUGCCUUGAAAUGUCAUCUACAUUCAGAUGGUGAAAUUUUUGAGGAGGCUCCAUAAGCUUCACGAGCCAAAGGGAUGCAUGAUGCAAAGGGACACGAAGACCCCAGAUGCUCCGAGGCCUCACUCCUCCCACUGCCCCAGAGCUGAGCAGCAACAGCAUACCCAGCACCACCAGCCCCAUCCACGGGAGGAGCAAUGAAAUUGCUGUUCAUCCAUGCUAUUGUGGAAUUUGUUCUGAGAGUCUUUUUUCCUGUUUUUUGCUUUCUCUCUCUCCUUUCCAGGCCCCUACUCCAUUCAUAACACAUACUCUUGCAACUUAACCCAUGUCGGGAAAAUCUAAUAUGGAAAUGUCCACAUUUGGAUCCAGGCUUGCAUUUUCACAUACAAACAUGCGUUUAAAUACAUACACAUGCUUACACAUUUACAUAUACUUAUGCAUUUAUAGAUAUAUGCACACUUAUGCAUUUACAUGUAUACAUUUACAUAUAUGUGCAUACGUGUCUGGGGAUUGGCCCUUCCCCACACAUAUACAAAG
rnacentral:lncRNA from 1 species